rnacentral:rRNA from 2 species
UGGGGAAUUUUGGACAAUGGGGGAAACCCUGAUCCAGCCAUCCCGCGUGUGCGAUGAAGGCCUUCGGGUUGUAAAGCACUUUUGGCAGGGAAGAAACGGCGCCCCUUAAUACGGGGCGUCACUGACGGUACCUGCAGAAUAAGCACCGGCUAACUACGUGCCAGCAGCCGCGGUAAUACGUAGGGUGCAAGCGUUAAUCGGAAUUACUGGGCGUAAAGCGUGCGCAGGCGGUUCGGAAAGAAAGGUGUGAAAUCCCAGAGCUUAACUUUGGAACUGCACUUUUAACUACCGGGCUAGAGUAUGUCAGAGGGGGGUAGAAUUCCACGUGUAGCAGUGAAAUGCGUAGAGAUGUGGAGGAAUACCGAUGGCGAAGGCAGCCCCCUGGGAUGAUACUGACGCUCAUGCACGAAAGCGUGGGGAGCAAACAGG